GAUGAACGCUGGCGGCGUGCCUAAUACAUGCAAGUCGAGCGAACAGACGAGGAGCUUGCCCCUCUGAUGUUAGCGGCGGACGGGUGAGUAACACGUGGAUAACCUACCUAUAAGACUGGGAUAACUUCGGGAAACCGGAGCUAAUACCGGAUAACAUGUUGAACCGCAUGGUUCAACAGUGAAAGACGGUCUUGCUGUCACUUAUAGAUGGAUCCGCGCCGCAUUAGCUAGUUGGUAAGGUAACGGCAUACCAAGGCAACGAUGCGUAGCCGACCUGAGAGGGUGAUCGGCCACACUGGAACUGAGACACGGUCCAGACUCCUACGGGAGGCAGCAGUAGGGAAUCUUCCGCAAUGGGCGAAAGCCUGACGGAGCAACGCCGCGUGAGUGAAGAAGGUCUUCGGAUCGUAAAACUCUGUUAUUAGGGAAGAACAAAUGUGUAAGUAACUAUGCACGUCUUGACGGUACCUAUCAGAAAGCCACGGCUAACUACGUG
rnacentral:rRNA from 1 species